rnacentral:lncRNA from 1 species
UGAAGGUCUCCAAAAUUUCCCUAUCCAGCUCUUCCAUGUUUUUGCUAGGAAGAGCCCGUGAAGGGAAUGGAAGAGGGAUAGGUUGGUCAACCAAUGGAGAAGGUACGGUAGCGACGAUGGAGGGAGAAGGUCCACCUGGAGAAGAUCCACCGGCUGAAGAAGAAGAUCCACCAACCUCAAAUGCUCUACGCGGACCGUCAUGGUUGUAUUCUUUAGGACAAGUGGCAGGCACGGGUGUAGGUGUAGAAGCGGGCUCUGAAGGCACAACAAUCUGCUUCCCUGAUCUGAGGGUAAUGGCACUAACAUUCUUUGGGUUCUGCACAGUCUAGGAUGGUAACUUAUCAGAAUUCUGAGACUGUGCCUGGUUCAUCUGAGUAGCCAUCUGAUCCAUCUGGUUAGUGAGACUCUGUAUGGUAGCUCUAGUCUCCUGCUGAAACUGCAGGUUUUGCAUAGUCAUCUGUCUCACUAACUCUUCUAAUGAAGGCUCAGAAGAAGUGGAAGGUUGGGCAACUGGUUGGGCAGGUGCCUCUUGCUGCUGUUGUUGUUGCUGUUGCUUCUGAUGUUGUUGCAUAGGUGGAGGCACAUAUCUGUUAGGUGCUCCAGCAUUCUGAAAAGGUGGCGCCUACUGCUGUUGCUGUGGCACAUUGUUUCACCUAAGAUUGGGGUGAUUCCUCCACCCUGGGUUGUACCCGUUGCUGGACAAGUCAUAAUUUUGCUGCUGUGGCUGCCUGUUGUUGUAGAUGUUAGUAGCAUAAACCUGAGGCACAUCAUAGGCAACUGAGUGCUGCAAGGUAGGACAAGCAUCAGUGUAGUGGCCACUAGAAGUACAAACAGCACACAGUCGUGCAACAGAUGCAGAGGAAGCUGUAGGUUUCUGGUUGGUUGCCAACUGUGUCACUAACUUCGCAAGAGAUUCAAUCUUGUCUUCCAACUUGCUUUCAAUAGCUGAUAAAGACUGGGUAACAACAUCAUGUACGCCCCUCACCACAAUGGCAUCAUUCCUGGCGCUAAACUACUAGGAGUUGGAAGCCAUCUUCUCAAUCAAUUUCCUGGCCUUAGCAGGUGUGGUGUCUCCAAGAGCACCACCACUGGCAGCAUCAAUCAUACCCCUAUCCAUGUUGUUCAAACCCUCAUAGAAAUACUGGAUAAGGAGUUGUUUAGGUAUCUGAUGCUGGGGACAACUUGCACAAAGUGUCAUGAAUCUCUC